CGCCGCCCGCAGCUCCCCUCGCGCCCGCAAGCCGCCUCUCCGGCGACCCCAUACCUCCGCCACGCCCCGCCGCCGGCGAACUUCCAUGCUGGACCUCCGGCUGCUCCUCCACCUCGCCCCUCUCCCUUCUCCUUCUUCUUCUCGAUCUCCUCUCACCUCUCUCACUCUUGCUAGAAAGGGACCUCCAUGGCGCCGCCGGCCCACAAUCUCACCGGAACCGGCCGCCUCCAUGCCAAAUCCGCUGGAAAUGGAUCCACCCCGGCCAGAUCCGCCCGGAUCCGACCGGGCCCCGCCGCCGUCGCCACCGGAGCGCCGCCCCGCUCGACCUGGAACGCUACCUUCCACCGGCAGCCCUGGUACAGGUUAGAGUAGUAGUAGUAAGAUUUUCCCAACCCUCCUUAAUAAUCGUACAAGGAUCAGCCGGUAGAUUCUUGGUAUACGUACAUACAGGCAACAAGAACUGGCUGAAGGAGAUCAAUCGAUGGGGGCGGACGGCCGCGACGACGACGGGCCUCUUCCUGCCCCAUAUAUACGUAUAAGUUUAUUAGGGGUAAAUAUACGUACAAGUGAAGAGCCAAAUAGGAUAUGAAAGAUUGAGCUUCUGUGUGUACUGAGAGCUAAGUUGCAACUCAAAUAUAUAUACUGUGAAUUUCCCAACUGAGGAUUCCAUUUAUUAUGUUGGUAGAAUGUUACUGCUCUUCUUUUAUGUAGCUAUAUUGCCCUGAAGUAGGUUCAUAUUUAGUGAAAGAAAAUCCCAGGCUUCAGACAGAUUAUAGUUGUAGGCUCCGUAUUAUUUUUCCGAUUUUAAAAACAGAAAGCAUAUGGAAUUUUGCUCUAUCAGGUAGCCAUUUUGUUGUUCAAUCCAUCCAUAGCUACAUUUUAAGAUAUAUUAUUGAAUUUCCUUAUUAUGUGAGUACAAGUCUGAACUUUUAGGACAUCCGGCACAUGAGUUUGAACCAACCAGUGCUACCAAUUUUUGGGUCACUACAUCAUGCAAUACUACGGAUUCUGUUCAACAUGGCAAACUUGGAUUUUUUAUUCUUUUUUCAGAUUAGAAUCACCUUAGCAAUGCCAUAUAGAUAAUACAAGAUGUGGCAAAGUGUUGUAUUCAAUAGAGAUUACAGUGAUAAAUUGGUGAAAUUAGUUUCCUCUCUGAUCUCUGUUAGCUUUAACUCGCUAGGAAGCCAUGUAGUCCUAUUUUUAGUACUAGGAGGAGAACAUAUAUUAAAUUUAUGCCAUCCGCUGAAUUGAUCUCUGUUGUGCUGGGGCAAACUAAACCAGAGCAAGCACUUACUCAAGGCAAGGAGCAGUGCUAGUACUUGCUCAUGGUUGAGGUAGAUUCAGGUUAAGUUUUAUGUGUUGAUUCCCUUCUCUUGCACAUGUCUAAGUCUUUGUGCCUGAUCAAGCUGUUCUUUGACAAGUAUUAUCUUUGAGUGAUGCCAUGUUGGUAAUAAAAUACUAUAUAACUCACAUUUCUUAUAUGUUCCUUUUUCAUUUCUGUUCUUUCAUUUGAAAGCUCAUAUGGUCAAUUUUGGAGGCAACUACAUGUAUAUACUGUUGAUGUUACAUGUAAACAAAUUUGAUGCUUUCAUGCAUAUGACCGUGCACAUCAUCAAACCCUUUCGAUUCUAUUGCAAGGUCAAAUAGUUUUUCGUGUUCUAACUCUCUGGGAUAAUCUGCGGUUAUUUGGUUCAUCGUCGUGCCUCAAGUCAAGUUUCUAAUAGCGCUGUGGCUGUACACCGUCGACUUCGCCGGAAAUCUGUCUACACAUACUCUACUGUCCGCCGAAACUUCGUCUGACCUGAGUUAUUUUGCUCAUCAUUGCGCCUCAAGUUUCCGACAGCGCCAUGGCUGUACACCGUCUGACUUCGCCAGAAAUCUGUCUGCACAUACUCUACUAUCUGCUGAAACUUCGUCUGACCUGAGGUACAUACUAAAGUGUCAUCGAUUUGUACCUAUCAUCAACUACUUCUUAAGUCUGUAUGUCAUCAACUAUACUACUUAUUAAAAGGGAUAAAGAGAGGAUAUGUUAGAGCUAGAUGAAACAAUAGCCCUGUGAAAGAGAGGUUUCUGCUUUCUAUGUGAGUAUCUUGGUGCAUGCUUGUUUCUGAAUAAAAUGUAGAGGUCGUGAACAAAUUAAAACAUGCUCUAUGAUGGGCAAGGGUAGGUUUAUUUUCAGUUAAAGUAGUAUCAGUUGUAUACUUAUAUAUACGCCAUUUGAAAAAUAGUAUGUAUAUGCUCCUUGCAAACUACUACGUAUUAUUUAAAUGUUUUACAUAAGACUGUCCAUCCAAAUACAAUAACUAAUUAGUAUUUUAAUAACUUGAAUUGCACGGCUUGAUCGCUCUGCUUGGGUCUUCUCUUAUGUAUGAGUGCACCAUGUGCGGGUUAAAUAAGUCUUCUAACUGUCUUGGCUAAUUUGCCUUCUGUUUUGAUUUGAGCUGAUGGGGAUGAGAUGUGACCCCGCUGCUGGGCGUCGCAAAUGCCACUGCUCCAAUGUGUGCCCCAGCUUCGGUGAUGCACGGGCGAGGCAACACGAUUUGGUACAAUGGCCCUCCUUCCAAGAAAUCAAGUUUUUUCGUUCAGAUUUUAGAGUUCUUGAGUUUCAGCUUAGUUCAAGGAUAGAAAAGCAUACUCCUUAUGGAUUCAAUGAGGAAGACCAUUAGCCGCCACCUUUUCAGAAUUGGAUGGUGUGGUGCACCUUCAUCCUGCUGUCUAAUUUCUUAGCUUAUUUGCUUUAACUGUACUACAGUAUAUAGCAGGAUAAGGAUCCAAUCUUGUGAAGCCUCUCCAUUUGCACCAUCGUCAAAAGUUGCACAUGAGUUGAUUCACACUUUCAGAGUUCAUAGAACACCUAGAGUUAAUCUGCCUGAAGGUAUAUCAGAUCCUAUGGAAAGGGGACCCGGUUCAGAUUUGUCACUACUCUGUGUUGUUGGAUAGCCAUGGUAUGUGUUAGUUUUGUUUUACCACAGUUUGAUUCUUGGUAGUUAGGAUAUCAGGUGUAUACAUUACUUUUCUUAUGAAUUUUUUCUCUUUUAGUGCACUAUCUAUCUAUCUAAUCUCUCUAUCAAAGUUUUCAAAGAAAUUGAUGGCGGUGGCUCAGAGGCGUCAUGGUGAAUGGCGAAGCUUCUAAAAUGGACGGAAGAGAGGUGGUGACUCGCGGCUGGGAGAUGUACAUAUUUGAGGAAAUACGAUUCAUAAGGUUUCAUAUUAACAAAAAAUGAUGAUCUUUGUAAAGUAAUCUGAACAUUUUGUUGAUUCCGGGACAAUUUUAUUCUCCAAUAUGAAUCCGUAAGAAAAUAUAUGACAAUACAUUUGUGCAAACUGAUAAUGUAAGCUCAUCUCGAAACUUUAUUCUUUUUCUAAGAUUGAUUUACUUGGUGGUGCUAACUUCCAUUCUAUCAAAGCAGGACAUGUGUGCUAUUUCUGAAAAAAGAAGCUUUUCUGUUGGCUGGCAUCCCUGAUGGUGCCUUUAGAUAUGUAGGAAAAGAAAUGGUAUCUCAUAAUUCACUGGAUGUAGACCAGUAGGGUCAAUCACAAAUUGUUGGCUGUAAAUGAAUUUCUGUUUCUAGCUUUCAUAAAAUUUAGACAAGUACUGUUUAACAGUA